GGGGAGGACAGUGGGUGUGUUAGUGGGGAGGACAGUGGGUGUGUUAGUGGGGAGGACCGUGGGUGUGUUAGUUGGGAGGACAGUGGGGGUGUGUAGGGUGUGUUAGUUGGGAGGACAGUGGGUGUGUUAGUGGGGAGGACAGUGGGUGUGUUAGGACAGUGGGGAGGACAGUGGGUGUGUUAGUGGGGAGGACAGUGGGUGUAUUAGUGGGGAGGACAAUGGGUGUGUUAGUGGGGAGGACAGUGGGUGUGUUAGUGGGGAGGACAGUGGGUGUGUUAGUGGGGAGGACAGUGGGUGUGUUAUGGGGGAGGACAGUGGGUGUGUUAGUGGGGAG
ensembl:lncRNA